GAAAUGCGAUAAGUAAUGUGAAUUGCAGAAUUCAGUGAAUCAUCGAAUCUUUGAACGCACAUUGCGCCCGCCAGUAUUCUGGCGGGCAUGCCUGUCCGAGCGUCAUUUCAACCAUCAAGCCCCCGGGCUUGUGUUGGGGACCUGCGGCUGCCCGCAGGCCCUGAAAACCAGUGGCGGGCUCGCUGUCACACCGAGCGUAGUAGCAAUCACCUCGCUCAGGGCGUGCUGCGGGUUCCGGCCGUUAAACAGCCUUACAAAACCCAAGGUUGACCUCGGAUCAGGUAGGAAGACCCGCUGAACUUAA
rnacentral:misc_RNA from 1 species